CCUACGGGAGGCAGCAGUGGGGGAUAUUGCACAAUGGGGGAAACGCUGAUGCAGCGACGCCGCGUGUGGGAAGACGGUCCUCUGGAUUGUAAACCACUGUCCCCAGGGACGAAGAUGACGGUACCUGGGGUGGAAGCUCCGGCUAACUACGUGCCAGCAGCCGCGGUAAUACGUAGGGGGCGAGCGUUGUCCGGAAUUACUGGGUGUAAAGGGAGCGUAGGCGGGACUGCAAGUUGGAGGUAAAAUCUACCGGCUCAACCGGUAGCCGCACUCAAAACUGCAGUUCUUGAGUGAAGAAGAGGCAUGCGGAAUUCCUAGUGUAGCGGUGAAAUGCGUAGAUAUUAGGAGGAACACCAGUGGCGAAGGCGGCCUGCUGGGCUUUUACUGACGCUGAGGCUCGAAAGUGUGGGGAGCGAACAGGAUUAGAUACCCCAGUAGUC
rnacentral:rRNA from 1 species